rnacentral:rRNA from 1 species
UAGGGAAUCUUCCGCAAUGGGCGAAAGCCUGACGGAGCAACGCCGCGUGAGUGAUGAAGGUCUUCGGAUCGUAAAACUCUGUUAUUAGGGAAGAACAAAUGUGUAAGUAACUAUGCACGUCUUGACGGUACCUAAUCAGAAAGCCACGGCUAACUACGUGCCAGCAGCCGCGGUAAUACGUAGGUGGCAAGCGUUAUCCGGAAUUAUUGGGCGUAAAGCGCGCGUAGGCGGUUUUUUAAGUCUGAUGUGAAAGCCCACGGCUCAACCGUGGGGGGUCAGUGGAAACUGGAAAACUUGAGGGCAGAAGAGGAAAGUGGAAGUCCAUGUGUAGCGGUGAAAUGCGCAGAGAUAUGGAGGAACAACAGUGGCGAAGGCGACUUUCUGGUCUGUAACUGACGCUGAUGUGCGAAAGCGUGGGGAUCAAACAGG